AACGAACGCUGGCGGCAGGCUUAACACAUGCAAGUCGAACGCCCCGCAAGGGGAGUGGCAGACGGGUGAGUAACGCGUGGGAAUCUACCCAUCCCUACGGAACAACUCCGGGAAACUGGAGCUAAUACCGUAUACGCCCUUAGGGGGAAAGAUUUAUCGGGGAUGGAUGAGCCCGCGUUGGAUUAGCUAGUUGGUGGGGUAAAGGCCUACCAAGGCGACGAUCCAUAGCUGGUCUGAGAGGAUGAUCAGCAACAUUGGGACUGGGACACGGCCCAAACUCCUACGGGAGGCAGCAGUGGGGAAUAUUGGACAAUGGGCGCAAACCUGAUCCAGCCAUGCCGCGUGAGUGAUGAAGGCCUUAGGGUUGUAAAGCUCUUUCACCGAUGAAGAUAAUGACGGUAGUCGGAGAGGAAGCCCCGGCUAACUUCGUGCCAGCAGCCGCCGUAAAAC
rnacentral:rRNA from 1 species